GGCUAGUUAGCUCAGUCAGCUGAGUGUGGUGCUGAUAACACCAAGGUCAUGGGUUUGAUCCCCAUUCGUUCCC
rnacentral:tRNA from 1 species